rnacentral:rRNA from 1 species
AGCAGCCGCGGUAAUUCCAGCUCCAAUAGCGUAUAUUAAAGUUGUUGCAGUUAAAAGCUCGUAGUUGAAUUUCGGGAUUGACACAUCGGUCGUGCCUUAAGGGGUGUGAACUGGUGUAGUCAAUUUCUCACCUUCUGGAGAACCGCGAUGUCCUUAAUUGGGUGCCGCGAGGAACCAGGACCUUUACUUUGAAAAAUUAGAGUGUUUAAAGCAGGCAUUUUUGCUUGAAUACAUUAGCAUGGAAUAAUAAAAUAGGACGGCAUGAUUCUAUUUUGUUGGUUUCUAGGAUCACCGUAAUGAUUAAUAGGGAUAGUUGGGGGCAUUAGUAUUCAAUUGUCAGAGGUGAAAUUCUUGGAUUUAUUGAAGACUAACUACUGCGAAAGCAUUUGCCAAGGAUGUUUUCAUUAAUCAAGAACGAAAGUUAGGGGAUCGAAGACGAUCAGAUACCGUCGUAGUCUUAACCAUAAACUAUGCCGACUAGGAAUCAGACGAUGUUAAUUUUUUAAUGACUCGUUUGGCACCUUACGGGAAACCAAAGUGUUUGGGUU